GAUGAACGCUGGCGGCGUGCCUAAUACAUGCAAGUCGAGCGAACAGAUGAGGAGCUUGCUCCUCUGACGUUAGCGGCGGACGGGUGAGUAACACGUGGAUAACCUACCUAUAAGACUGGGAUAACUUCGGGAAACCGGAGCUAAUACCGGAUAAUAUAUUGAACCGCAUGGUUCAAUAGUGAAAGACGGUUUUGCUGUCACUUAUAGAUGGAUCCGCGCCGCAUUAGCUAGUUGGUAAGGUAACGGCUUACCAAGGCAACGAUGCGUAGCCGACCUGAGAGGGCGAUCGGCCACACUGGAACUGAGACACGGUCCAGACUCCUACGGGAGGCAGCAGUAGGGAAUCUUCCGCAAUGGGCGAAAGCCUGACGGAGCAACGCCGCGUGAGUGAUGAAGGUCUUCGGAUCGUAAAACUCUGUUAUUAGGGAAGAACAAAUGUGUAAGUAACUAUGCACGUCUUGACGGUACCUAAUCAGAAAGCCACGGCUAACUACGU
rnacentral:rRNA from 1 species